rnacentral:rRNA from 1 species
CCUACGGGUGGCAGCAGUGGGGGAUAUUGCACAAUGGGGGAAACCCUGAUGCAGCGACGCCGCGUGAGUGAAGAAGUAUUUCGGUAUGUAAAGCUCUAUCAGCAGGGAAGAGAAAAGACGGUACCUGAAUAAGAAGCCCCGGCUAACUACGUGCCAGCAGCCGCGGUAAUACGUAGGGGGCAAGCGUUAUCCGGAUUUACUGGGUGUAACGGGAGCGUAGACGGAAAUGCAAGUCAGAAGUGAAAUACCAGGGCUCAACCAUGGAACUGCUUUUGAAACUGUAUGGCUAGAGUGCGGGAGAGGUAAGCGGAAUUCCUAGUGUAGCGGUGAAAUGCGUAGAUAUUAGGAGGAACACCAGUGGCGAAGGCGGCUUACUGGACAGAAACUGACGUUGAGGCUCGAAAGCGUGGGGAGCAAACAGGAUUAGAUACCCGAGUAGUC